rnacentral:rRNA from 1 species
AGAGUUUGAUCCUGGCUCAGAAGGAACGCUAGCUAUAUGCUUAACACAUGCAAGUCGAACGUUGUUUUCGGGGAGCUGGGCAGAAGGAAAAGAGGCUCCUAGCUAAAGGUAGCUUGUCUCGCCUGGGUAGCCUAUGCGAAGCAAGCCCACACUGGAGGUGGGAACAGUUGAGAACAAAGUGGCGAACGGGUGCGUAACGC